GGGUUGUGAGGUUAAGCGACUAAGCGUACACGGUGGAUGCCCUGGCAGUCAGAGGCGAUGAAGGACGUGCUAAUCUGCGAUAAGCGUCGGUGAGGUGAUAUGAACCGUUAUAACCGGCGAUUUCCGAAUGGGGAAACCCAGUGUGUUUCGACACACUAUCAUUAACUGAAUCCAUAGGUUAAUGAGGCGAACCGGGGGAACUGAAACAUCUAAGUACCCCGAGGAAAAGAAAUCAACCGAGAUUCCCCCAGUAGCGGCGAGCGAACGGGGAGGAGCCCAGAGCCUGAAUCAGUGUGUGUGUUAGUGGAAGCGUCUGGAAAGGCGCGCGAUACAGGGUGACAGCCCCGUACACAAAAAUGCACAUAUUGUGAGCUCGAUGAGUAGGGCGGGACACGUGGUAUCCUGUCUGAAUAUGGGGGGACCAUCCUCCAAGGCUAAAUACUCCUGACUGACCGAUAGUGAACCAGUACCGUGAGGGAAAGGCGAAAAGAACCCCGGCGAGGGGAGUGAAAAAGAACCUGAAACCGUGUACGUACAAGCAGUGGGAGCCUCUUAAUGGGGUGACUGCGUACCUUUUGUAUAAUGGGUCAGCGACUUAUAUUCUGUAGCAAGGUUAACCGAAUAGGGGAGCCGAAGGGAAACCGAGUCUUAACUGGGCGUUAAGUUGCAGGGUAUAGACCCGAAACCCGGUGAUCUAGCCAUGGGCAGGUUGAAGGUUGGGUAACACUAACUGGAGGACCGAACCGACUAAUGUUGAAAAAUUAGCGGAUGACUUGUGGCUGGGGGUGAAAGGCCAAUCAAACCGGGAGAUAGCUGGUUCUCCCCGAAAGCUAUUUAGGUAGCGCCUCGUGAAUUCAUCUCCGGGGGUAGAGCACUGUUUCGGCAAGGGGGUCAUCCCGACUUACCAACCCGAUGCAAACUGCGAAUACCGGAGAAUGUUAUCACGGGAGACACACGGCGGGUGCUAACGUCCGUCGUGAAGAGGGAAACAACCCAGACCGCCAGCUAAGGUCCCAAAGUCAUGGUUAAGUGGGAAACGAUGUGGGAAGGCCCAGACAGCCAGGAUGUUGGCUUAGAAGCAGCCAUCAUUUAAAGAAAGCGUAAUAGCUCACUGGUCGAGUCGGCCUGCGCGGAAGAUGUAACGGGGCUAAACCAUGCACCGAAGCUGCGGCAGCGACGCUUAUGCGUUGUUGGGUA
rnacentral:rRNA from 1 species